UACGUAGGUGGAGAUUUAAGUGAGAUGCGAAAUCUGGCGGCUCAACCGUCUAGACUGUGUCUCAUACUGGGUUUCUUGAGGUUGGCAGAGGCAAGUGGAAUUUCCGGUGUAGCAGUGAAAUGCGUAGAGAUCGGAAGGAACACCAAUGGCGAAGGCAGCUUGCUGGGCCACACCUGACACUGAGGUACGAAAGCGUGGGGAGCGAACAGGAUUAGAUACCCUGGUAGUCCACGCCGUAAACGAUGGAUGCUAGUAGUUCGAGGUAUCGACCCCUUGGGCUGCGAAGCUAACGCGUUAAGCAUCCCGCCUGGGGAGUACGAGCGCAAGCUUAAA
rnacentral:rRNA from 1 species